rnacentral:lncRNA from 1 species
GUCAGCAUACAUUUUCUAUAAAGGGCCAGAGAGUAAAUAUAUUUGGCUUUGAGGGCCAGACUGUCUCUGUUGCCAUGGCUUGGCUCUGCCAACAUAGAGUAGGCAGGAGUGUCCUUGUUGGUGGGUGACCCUCCCAGGAGCUUCCCAGCUGCAGUGAGAAAGUGGCCCUUGUUUUCCGAGGGCUAGGAGAGACAGAAGGGAGAGGCAGACCACUCCAGGAGCUUCACUUGACCUCUGUGGGCAUCAGCACAGACCAGGCAUGACUCCGGAAGGGGAGCUCAGAUUCCAAGCAGAGAAGAGAGAGGUAGAUACCUGUGACAAGACUGUUCUGCAC